AGAGUUUGAUCCUGGCUCAGAGUGAACGCUGGCGGCGUGCCUAACACAUGCAAGUCGAACGAGAACGGAUUACAGCUUGCUGUAAUUGUCAGCUAAGUGGCGCACGGGUGAGUAAUAUAUAGUUAAUCUGCCCCAAAGAAGAGAAUAAUUGUUGGAAACGACUUGUAAUGCUCUAUAUGCCUUUAUCACAUAAGUGAGCAAGGGAAAUAUUUAUAGCUUUGGGAUGAGACUGUACGGUAUCAGAUAGUUGGUGAGGUAAUGGCUCACCAAGUCUAUGACACCUAACUGGUUUGAGAGGAUGAUCAGUCACACUGGAACUGAGACACGGUCCAGACUCCUACGGGAGGCAGCAGUGGGGAAUAUUGCACAAUGGAGGAAACUCUGAUGCAGCAACGCCGCGUGGAGGAUGACACAUUUCGGUGCGUAAACUCCUUUUAUUAGGGAAGAUAAUGACGGUACCUAAUGAAUAAGCACCGGCUAACUCCGUGCCAGCAGCCGCGGUAAUACGGGGGGUGCAAGCGUUACUCGGAAUCACUGGGCGUAAAGAGCAUGUAGGCUGGUUUGUAAGUUGGAAGUGAAAUCCUAUGGCUCAACCAUAGAACUGCUUCCAAAACUGCUUACCUAGAGUAUGGGAGAGGUAGAUGGAAUUUCUGGUGUAGGGGUAAAAUCCGUAGAGAUC
rnacentral:rRNA from 1 species